CUGAGUUCUAACAUCCAAGGGCAGAGAAAAAUGGUAUCCCAGCUCCGGAAGACAGAGAGCAAACUAUUUCACAUUGUCUCUGCCUUUUUAUUGUAUCCAGGCGCUCAGCUGAUUGGAUGAUACCUGCUCCCAUUGGGAUCUCACUAUGUUACUUGGGCUGGUCUCGAACUCCUGGCUUCAAGUGAUCCUCCCAUCUCAAUCUCCCAAAGUGCUGUGACUACAGGUGUGAGUCACUGUGCCAGGCCCAACCUGAAACCUUGACUGCAACUCACCUCAGAGACUGCGACACACUGGCUAUGCCCCAAGUCAUAUGUGGAGAGGGCAGCUUUUCUCAUCCGGCUUGCCAGGCUCUUCUAAAUUGAACAUAGACAGAAGGAAAAGAAAGGCAUGUUCUGGGAGCUCAGAGUCUUUUGUUACACGUGUCUCGAAGGGUACUAAUACAUCUCCAGUAGCUGUGAUUAUGCCAUGAAAUGUCUCUAAUAAAAAUUACUUUUUG
rnacentral:lncRNA from 10 species